rnacentral:rRNA from 1 species
UCAAUAAGCGGAGGAAAAGAACUAACAAGGAUUCCCUUAGUAACUGCGAGUGAAGAGGGAAAAGCUCAAAUUUUAAAUCUGGCGGUGCUGCUUGCCCGUCUGAGUUGUAGCCUAGAGAAGUGUUGCCCGUGCUGGACCGUGUAUAAGUCUCCUGGGAUGGAGUGUCAGAGAGGGUGAGAAUCCCGUCGUUGACACGGAUUGCCCAGUACAGUGUGGUAUGCUCUCAAAGAGUUGAGUUGUUUGGGAAUGCAGCUCUAAAUGGGUGGUAAAUUCCAUCUAAAGCUAAAUAUUGGCGAGAGACCGAUAGCGAACAAGUACCGUGAGGGAAAGAUGAAAAGAACUUUGGAAAGAGAGUUAAACAGUAUGUGAAAUUGUUGAAAGGGAAACGUUUGAAGUCAGUCGUGUUGGUCAGGGAUCAAGCCAGCAAGAUGAGCUGGGUGUACUUCCUGGGCAACGGGCCAACAUGAGUUUUGACUGCUGGAGAAAGGCUGAGGGAAUGUGGCACCUUUUUGGUGUGUU